GCAGUUUUGAAGAAGCCUUCGGGUGGAAUUGAGAUUGACUGAGUGGCGGACGGGUGAGUAACGCGUGGGUAAUCUGCCUCAUACAGGGGGAUAACAGUUAGAAAUGACUGCUAAUACCGCAUAAGCGCACAGAGCUGCAUGGCUCGGUGUGAAAAACUCCGGUGGUAUGAGAUGAGCCCGCGUCUGAUUAGGUAGUUGGUGAGGUAACGGCCCACCAAGCCGACGAUCAGUAGCCGACCUGAGAGGGUGAUCGGCCACAUUGGGACUGAGACACGGCCCAAACUCCUACGGGAGGCAGCAGUGGGGAAUAUUGCACAAUGGGGGAAACCCUGAUGCAGCGACGCCGCGUGAAGGACGACGUAUUUCGGUAUGUAAACUUCUAUCAGCAGGGAAGAUAAUGACGGUACCUGAUUAAGAAGCCCCGGCUAACUACGUGCCAGCAGCCGCGGUAAUACGUAGGGGGCAAGCGUUAUCCGGAUUUACUGGGUGUAAAGGGAGCGUAGGCGGCUUGGUAAGUCAGAAGUGAAAGCCCAGGGCUUAACCCUGGGACUGCUUUUGAAACUGCCAGGCUUGAUUGCCGGAGAGGUAAGUGGAAUUCCUAGUGUAGCGGUGAAAUGCGUAGAUAUUAGGAGGAACACCAGUGGCGAAGGCG
rnacentral:rRNA from 1 species